rnacentral:misc_RNA from 1 species
UAAAAGUUACUUGGGAUGGCAUGAACAGGGAGACGGUAGUUUGUUUUGUGGUCUACAUGUUGACAAUGGUCGUGUAAAAGGAGAGAUGAAGAAGGCACUCAGGGAAGUUAUUGAGAAGUAUAAUCUGAAUGUGCGUCUCACACCCAACCAAAAUAUUAUCUUGAGCAAUAUUCGGCAAUCUUGGAAGCGCUCCAUCACCACAGUCCUUGCACAGGGUGGUUUGCUGCAACCUAGGUUUGUCGAUCCUCUCAAUCUAACAGCAAUGGCGUGCCCAGCUUUUCCACUUUGUCCUCUAGCAAUCACUGAAGCUGAGCGUGGAAUACCUGACAUCCUCAAGCGUGUUAGAGCUAUGUUUGACAAGGUUGGUCUGAGGUUCUAUGAAUCCGUUGUUAUAAGGGUAACAGGUUGUCCCAAUGGAUGUGCUCG